GACGAACGCUGGCGGCGUGCCUAAUACAUGCAAGUCGAGCGGACGGAUGGGAGCUUGCUCCCAGACCGUCAGCGGCGGACGGGUGAGUAACACGUGGGCAACCUGCCUGUAAGACUGGGAUAACUCCGGGAAACCGGGGCUAGUACCGGAUAACUCUUUCCCUCACAUGAGGGAAAGCUGAAAGAUGGCAUCUCGCUAUCACUUACAGAUGGGCCCGCGGCGCAUUAGCUAGUUGGUGAGGUAACGGCUCACCAAGCCGACGAUGCGUAGCCGACCUGAGAGGGUGAUCGGCCACACUGGGACUGAGACACGGCCCAGACUCCUACGGGAGGCAGCAGUAGGGAAUCUUCCGCAAUGGACGAAAGUCUGACGGAGCAACGCCGCGUGAGUGAUGAAGGUUUUCGGAUCGUAAAACUCUGUUGUCAGGGAAGAACAAGUACCGGAGUAACUGCCGGUACCUUGACGGUACCUGACCAGAAAGCCACGGCUAACUACGUG
rnacentral:rRNA from 1 species